rnacentral:rRNA from 1 species
UACGUAGGGUCCGAGCGUUGUCCGGAAUUAUUGGGCGUAAAGGGCUCGUAGGCGGUCUGUUGCGUCGGGAGUGAAAACUUACAGCUUAACUGUGAGCGUGCUUUCGAUACGGGCAGACUUGAGGCAUUCAGGGGAGAACGGAAUUCCUGGUGUAGCGGUGAAAUGCGCAGAUAUCAGGAAGAACACCAACGGCGAAGGCAGCUCGCUAGGACGGAACUGACGCUGAGGCGCGAAAGCGUGGGGAGCAAACAGG